rnacentral:lncRNA from 1 species
ACGUGUUGCAUAGGCGUAGCGAAUCGAGCGAAGCUAGCCAAUCUAGCCGGAAGUGUAAAAAGCGCGCCCCUACAAGCUAGCGAACCUAGACCCCUAGCGUAGCAAAGCUAGCGGCCUUUGGAGGUCCUACGCUUGCUAUUCAAAAUGGCCGACAUUGUUGUCGGUUUCAAGUUUGCAGAUGAGAGUUUCUUUGAUGCUCCCGUUAAAAAGGAGUAUUGGACCGGAUACAAAGUGAAACAAAUGUGGGAAAUCAAUGGACCAAGGGGGCAGUACUUUUCCUCAUGGACACUUAUGCCGAACAUAAGGAACAAUUUGCAAUUCCAACUUGAAAAUAGAGGUAUGGAAGAGGAUUGUUUUGGAAAUGGCAGCCUCAGGAUGCCACUUUGCUCCAGCAGCACUUGAGAAAAAAAUGGAGCAAUAUGAAAAUAUGGUACAAAGCUAUAUUAGAUUUCAACAAGAAAACGGGCCAGGGAAGAUCACGAUGGAAUUUCUAUUCCAGAAUGGCUGAAAUCUUGGAAGGAGACUCUUCGUUCAUCUCACCACUGACAUCAUCAUCACUGGGGAGUGUAAAAGUAAACACUCUCUCCGAGAUCUCCAAUACCCAGCAAUGUGCCACCCCUACAAAGAAGCAAG